GUCUUAUUGUAAUAAUAAUUAUUAUACUUGAAUGAUACAAAAUUAAUAUGCUCAGCACUAUUCAAAUUUGUACUUUAUCUUUUCAUAAAAAUAAAAACCGGCGACGGCGUUUAUCGCAUCCCGUUCGAAUUUUAAGUGGCAUCGGUCGUGGCCAUAAUCAGAAACAAGUUGCUCAUGAACUGCGCAGUAACGUUUACGAGUAAUUGGACCGCGUUCAGAGCAGAAAAAAUUUGGCGCCGAACGCAAUGACGUUCACCACAAACUCGGCUGCCUAAAAAUAAUUCUUGGACGGUAAAUCUGUGGUCAAACCGCUGAACUCGAUCAUUUUGACCAGCAGUGAGCCAGUGACCAACACGUCAAAAAAGAAAUUUGGUAGGGUAUGGAAUGUUUAGCAAACGACCGCCAAUUGUUGACGAUCAGCCGCACGUACGCACGGGUAUCAUAAAUAAGUAAACGAACAGCAGUGCUAUGGUAACGGAAGCCAUUGAUGCUGUCACCAAACCCUCGCCCACCCGGAGUACGAUAAUAAUAAUAAUAUGUUCACUUUCACGUUUGUUUAUUUUUAAAAAGAAAAUUUGAAUGAAAAAAAACCGACAAUAAUAAUAAUAACGACGCGCUACGUGUUUACUUAAACUAAAAUAAUAUAUUAUUCUGUUUUCGUAUCGUCUUAUGUAGUUUAAUUUUUAAAUAUAGAAAUGUAUUUGUAAUUUGUCAUCUUUAUUUAUUUAUUUAAUAUUUGUAUUACUGUUAUUAUUAUUAUUCUAACUAAAUAUCUGUACAUUUUUUUUUUCUAUUAUCAUAUUUAUAUAAAUCACUUGAUGUUUUUUGGGUCUCGGCCAGUACUGUUAUAAAAUAAAAUAAAAUAUAUUACCACUGAUGGCAACUAUACGAGUAGCAUUUUAAACGCGCAAACACAUACUUCCAAGUAAUGAAUGCAUAUUUUAUUUUCAUUUUUAUAUUUCUCGCUUUCAUACCACUCGAAUGGGGGGAGGAGGAACAGUUAUACCCUACUCAUAAUAUUGUCCUCUGCGUCUCUCUAUAUCCGCCGCAAUUUCUUCGCCUACUCCACAAUCCGCAUAUCUUCAUUCUUCUCCCCGAGUAACCUCUAUAGUCAUUGUUUCUUUGACGCUCCUCUUCUCCAGCUUCCGUUUGUACUUUUUAUAUUUCACAAAUAAAUACUAAAUAGGUAGACCUAAAAGUAUGAUAACAAUAAUAUAAAGACACCGAUUAAUCGACUUGAUUAAUAAUUUAUUAUACUCCACGACCCAUAGUGAUCAAUAUGUUUUUUAUGUGAUUCCUAUACAAUAUAAUUCAAUACAUUUUUCUCCAAAAUCUCUAGCCUCUCUUUAAGCUUGCCUCUUGACGCUUUUUAUUAAUAAUUUGGUAAUUUGUUGUAUAAUAUCGAAUUUAAUUAAUUAAUUUAUGUUUAGCCCACUUAUAGAUCCUUAAUUCUUGAAUUUAUUUUGUUUUUUUAUAAAACUUUUAAAUUUUAUUUUUAUUUAUUUUAUUAUAGGUUCACUGACACUAAACAUAAUAUGUCCAAAAACGUUUGCAAUCUCUG